CAGAUGCUUGCAUUUCUUACAGUAUGGUGAGACACCCUUAAAAGUGCUGAUAAAGCUCAUCAUGCCACUUCAAAUGUGUAGUGGAUGCAUAUCUCAAAUGACACUAGGACUCUACAUUGUUCCUUCCUAUAAAAUCAAAAAGGACAUAGAAUAUGAUGGAUAACUUCAUGAAUUUUAAACUAAACAAUUUAACACCAAACAACCUGAAGACUAACACUCAGAUGCAUCACAGCCUACACGGUAUCAUAAAAAAUAACACCAGAAAAUGCAGCAAAGCAGCUUCCUAAAAUUCUGAAUACUACAGGGCCAGAUGUGCACUCAUACUGCUCAGCUCUUCAUGCCCCAUCUGAAACCCCAUUCACAGUGUGAAGACUGGGUCACUUUGUCUGAAGGAAUCAGUCAGAUGCCAUGCAGUUUGAGAUCAGGUGACUGGGUUAACAAUGCUAAAAUGAAUCCCAGAAGCAUGAUUAUUUAUCCUUUUAUAUAAUUUUUAGUGUAUUCUUGCACCUGACGUAUGUGUCUUUGAGAGCAAAUGCACACGUACAGUAUGUAAGCUAAUUUGAGAGAGAGCUAAGACAUAAACUCUAUGUUUUAUAUUUACAUUUGUCUGCAAGCUGUAAAUUUGAUUUUAAAUGAAGCCUGAAUGUGCUUAAAAAAACAUUACUGCUUAGGAUUUCAGCAAGACAAAUCAAAGUAUGUAUUUCUGUAACUAUU